GGGGGGUUACCAGAGCGGUCAAAUGGGGCAGACUGUAAAUCUGUUGGCUUAGCCUUCGGAAGUUCGAAUCUUCCACCCCCCA
rnacentral:tRNA from 1 species